rnacentral:tRNA from 1 species
GCACCGCUAGCUCAGCUGGAUAGAGCGUCUGUCUACGGAACAGAAGGUCGAGCGUUCGAAUCGCCCGCGGUGCACCA